rnacentral:rRNA from 1 species
AAGCGUUGUCCGGAAUUAUUGGGCGUAAAGAGCUCGUAGGCGGUUUGUCGCGUCGAAUGUGAAAACCCGGGGCUCAACCCCGGGCCUGCAUUCGAUACGGGCAGACUAGAGUUCGGUAGGGGAGUCUGGAAUUCCUGGUGUAGCGGUGAAAUGCGCAGAUAUCAGGAGGAACACCGGUGGCGAAGGCGGGACUCUGGGCCGAUACUGACGCUGAGGAGCGAAAGCGUGGGGAGCAAACAGG